rnacentral:rRNA from 1 species
AGGGAUUGCCCUAGUAACGGCGAGUGAAGCGGCAACAGCUCAAAUUUGAAAUCUGGCUCUUUUAGAGUCCGAGUUGUAAUUUGCAGAGGGCGCUUUGGCUUUGGCAGCGGUCCAAGUUCCUUGGAACAGGACGUCACAGAGGGUGAGAAUCCCGUACGUGGUCGCUGGCUAUUGCCGUGUAAAGCCCCUUCGACGAGUCGAGUUGUUUGGGAAUGCAGCUCUAAAUGGGAGGUACAUUUCUUCUAAAGCUAAAUAUUGGCCAGAGACCGAUAGCGCACAAGUAGAGUGAUCGAAAGAUGAAAAGCACUUUGGAAAGAGAGUCAAACAGCACGUGAAAUUGUUAAAAGGGAAGCGCUUGCAGCCAGACUUGCUUGCAGUUGCUCAUCCGGGCUUUUGCCCGGUGCACUCUUCUGUAGGCAGGCCAGCAUCAGUUUGGGCGGUAGGAUAAAGGUCUCUGUCACGUACCUCCUUUCGGGGAGGCCUUAUAGGGGAGACGACAUACUACCAGCCUGGACUGAGGUCCGCGCAUCUGCUAGGAUGCUGGCGUAAUGGCUGUAAGCGGCCCGUCUUGAAACACGGACCAAGGAGUCUAACAUCUAUGCGAGUGUUUGGGUGUCAAGCCCGAGCGCGUAAUGAAAGUGAACGGAGGUGGGAACCCGCAAGGGUGCACCAUCGACCGAUCCUGAUGUCUUCGGAAGGAUUUGAGUAAGAGCAUGGCUGUUGGGACCCGAAAGAUGGUGAACUAUGCUUGAAUAGGGUGAA